CAGCAUGCUUUGCAAGCGCUCACUAAUCUCACACCGAUGGGAAUGAGGUGCGGGUUGUAACCAUUGUGCUACAGCGGUGAUUUAAACCAAGCCCCAAGGAGGCUCCGUGGCUAACUAGAGGCCUCGCAGCCAGUCAGCUGAAAAGCCAGAACUCCUGGCCCCUGGCCCCCAGCCCCAAGACCACGGCUGCCCCCCCGGAACUAGGAAAUGGUCGCGAUGCCCUCAGCCAGCGGGAGCAGGGCGCUGGGGAUGAGCCCGAAGUCGCUCUCGGUGAAGGAGCGGAUCCCGGCCGCGCGCACCGGGGUGGAAAAUCCCCGCAAGCAGCAGCAGGACACUAGAGACACCACUUGUUGCGACUCUCCCGGCCGUCGAAAAAGCUCCAGCUGCUCCCCAGGCACGGGCGCCGGCUCCAGCUCGCCGGGCCUGGACGCAGCACCGCCCCGCCGCAACAGCGGAUGCACCGCGCGCCCUUUCAGAUGAUAUACUGCCUCCCCUCCCCCCAUCAGUGGUCUGCAUCCAGCCCACCUGCUGUGGGAUGUGGCAAGUAUUAGGUCCUUGAUGUGUUCAGAGCACGCCUACAGGAUUGGGCCCCAUGAGCCAGCCGCAAAUUUUUCAAGUCUCCCUCCUCCAUCCCGAAGGCUAUCUCAGAUAAGGCGGCGG